UGUUGAGUUCGGCAGCACAUAUACUAAAAUUGGAACGAUACAGAGAAAAUUAGCAUGGCCCCUGCACAAGGAUGACACGCAAAUUCAUGAAGCGUUCCAUAUUUUU
rnacentral:snRNA from 1 species